GGGGAUUUAGCUCAAUGGUAGAGCGCUUGCCUAGCAAGUGCAAGGCCCUGGGUUCGGUCCCCAGCUCCA
rnacentral:tRNA from 1 species